GCAGGCUUAACACAUGCAAGUCGAACGCUCCGCAAGGAGAGUGGCAGACGGGUGAGUAACACGUGGGAAUCUACCCUUUACUACGGAAUAACGCAUGGAAACGUGUGCUAAUACCGUAUGUGUCCUUCGGGAGAAAGAUUUAUCGGUAAAGGAUGAGCCCGCGUUGGAUUAGCUAGUUGGUGGGGUAAAGGCCUACCAAGGCGACGAUCCAUAGCUGGUCUGAGAGGAUGAUCAGCCACAUUGGGACUGAGACACGGCCCAAACUCCUACGGGAGGCAGCAGUGGGGAAUAUUGGACAAUGGGCGCAAGCCUGAUCCAGCCAUGCCGCGUGAGUGAUGAAGGCCCUAGGGUUGUAAAGCUCUUUCACCGGAGAAGAUAAUGACGGUAUCCGGAGAAGAAGCCCCGGCUAACUUCGUGCCAGCAGCCGCGGUAAUACGAAGGGGGCUAGCGUUGUUCGGAUUUACUGGGCGUAAAGCGCACGUAGGCGGAUCGAUCAGUCAGGGGUGAAAUCCCAGAGCUCAACUCUGGAACUGCCUUUGAUACUGUCGAUCUGGAGUAUGGAAGAGGUGAGUGGAAUUCCGAGUGUAGAGGUGAAAUUCGUAGAUAUUCGGAGGAACACCAGUGGCGAAGGCGGCUCACUGGUCCAUUACUGACGCUGAGGUGCGAAAGCGUGGGGAGCAAACAGGAUUAGAUACCCUGUAGUCCACGCCGUAAACGAUGAAUGUUAGCCGUCGGGCAGUAUACUGUUUCGGUGGCGCAGCUAACGCAUUUAAACAUUCCGCCUGGGGAGUACGGUCGCAAGAAUUA
rnacentral:rRNA from 1 species